AAAACAUGACAAAGAAGAGGAGGACUCCCCAGGCUCUUGGAGAUCAGAGGAAGAAAUGGCGGUAGAAGCUGCAACGCUGAGGGUCUACUUUCAGUGACAGGCAAGAAAGUAACUCAAACAAAUCCCAAGGCAUAAGGAAAUGGGCCUUGUUCUCGAGGACUCUGCGGCAUUGGAAAUGAAGCUAAGCAGACUUUAUUACAUCCUACAGUUCUUCAGCCUUUUGUGAAGCAUUUUAUUACACUUACAGAAGCCAUCGGGGUUAUGUUUCAAUCAGGAUGACUGACAGGCUAUCUUCAAAACAACGGCACCAACAGCCCUUCCACACUUCCUUGGCUAUGUACUUAGAAUAGAACCUCCUCUAAAUUGUCCCUUGGACUGGACAGAAAUAAAAUGGUAGUUAAAAAAUU